GGCUCUGGCCAGCCCUGUUUCCCACCGGGUGCGUUUGGAAGGCAGCAGUGGGAGGGUUCCGGCAGCAACACCCACACAAUCAAAAGCUGCUCUAUCCAGCCGGGCCGAGCGUUUCUGUGGGAGCCCAGGAGCGGAUAAUGGAGGCAGUGUUUGCGCACAUUUCGGCGCUAUCGCGGAAAUAACACGAGCCGUCACUCCUGCUGCAGCUGCACGGCCACCACGGCACCCUCCCACGGGCACCUGGGGGGCCACAGGACUGCCCAUGCUGGGAUAAAACCAAAAGAAGCCCCUAGCCCCAUGGGUCGGUCCUCUUCCCAAAAAUCCAAAGCCAGCGCAGGAUUUUCAGGGCCAGGGACGCGGUGCUGGGUGUACACCGGAGGACACGGCGGCAGCAUCUCAUCUGCCUCGGGCUGGGGGAUACGCCGGAAUCCUGCGGUGCGGGAUGACUGGCCCUCGACGCUGGAGCAGGGAGAGCUACUUUUUCCGAGAGUGCCUUUAAUUAAUGGCAGAAGGAGCUGACGGGGCGGCUCGGAAGCGCUCAAGAAGGGCUUUAGCCCUGGAGCUGGCAGUUCUGCACGGAUACCCCCUGCCCAGAGCAGGCAGCCCCGGCCCAUCUGAAGUCGCUGGGUGAGGGGCGGCACCAAAGUUUCGCCAGGUUUUGCUCUUGUUUGACAGUGAUUUCAAUAAUAAUGCUGGAGGAUCCUGGGGCAGCAGGAGCCCCGGGGGGCUCAGCAUCCCCUGGGGAGGGGCGGGGUGAGGGGGACUCAUUUAAAUCCUGGAGAUUGUGAAGAUUUGGUAAGAAAACAAACA